rnacentral:tRNA from 1 species
GUGUAGCUCAGUGGUAGGGCACUUGCCUAGCACGCAGGAGGCCCUGGACCCUGGGUUUGAUUCCCAAGACA